UCCGGAGUGCCGGUAGCCAAGGUUGCCGGUAGAGAGACUUGUAAAUUCAGUAACCCACUGGCAGAGUAAAAUGACGUGAGGGGAUAAAGGCGUAUCUCAUGUUUCUGCUAGUUAAUUUACCCGGUUACCGGAACGUUUGUUUAAGUGCAUCCGUUCGGCUAAUUAAUAUAGCGGUUACUUUUUUG
rnacentral:ncRNA from 1 species